rnacentral:piRNA from 1 species
UCGCCUUCGUAGUUGAAACCCCAUGGGAUC